rnacentral:tRNA from 1 species
GAUAGCAUGGCGCAGUGGUAGCGCGCGGGGCCCAUAACCCCGAGGUCACUUGAUCGAAACAAGUUGCUGCUA